rnacentral:rRNA from 1 species
CCUACGGGAGGCAGCAGUGAGUAAUAUUGGUCCAUGGGCGCGAGCCUGAACCAGCCAAGUAGCGUGAAGGAUGACUUCCCUACGGGUUGUAAACUUCUUUUCUAAGGGAAUACAGUGAGGCACGUUUGCCGUUUUGUAUGUACUUUAUGAAUAAGUAUCGGCUAACUCCGUUCCAGCAUCCGCGGUAAUUCGGAGGAUACGAGCGUUGUCCGGAAGUACUGGGCUGAACGGGUCCGUAGGUGGUUUGUUACGUCAGAGGGGAAAGGCUAGGGCUGAACCGUAGUAAGCCGUUGAAACUGGGAAACUUGAGGGCAGGAGAGGAGGGUGGAAUUCCUAGUGUAGCGGUGAAAUGCGUAGAUAUUAGGAGGAACACCAGUUGCGAAGGCGGCUCUCUGGACUGUAACUGACACUGAGGCACGAAAGCGUGGGGAGCAAGCAGGAUUAGAUACCCUUGUAGUC